UACGGAAGGUCCAGGCGUUAUCCGGAUUUAUUGGGUUUAAAGGGAGCGUAGGCGGAUUAUUAAGUCAGUGGUGAAAGACGGUGGCUCAACCAUCGUUAGCCAUUGAAACUGGUAGUCUUGAGUGCAGACAGGGAUGCUGGAACUCGUGGUGUAGCGGUGAAAUGCUUAGAUAUCACGAUGAACUCCGAUCGCGAAGGCAGGUGUCCGGGCUGCAACUGACGCUGAGGCUCGAAAGUGUGGGUAUCAAACAGGAUUAGAUACCCUGGUAGUCCACACAGUAAACGAUGUAUACUCGCGGUUUGCGAUAUAAUGUAAGCCGCCAAGCGAAAGCAUUAAGUAUACCACCUGGGGAGUACGCCGGCAACGGUGAA
rnacentral:rRNA from 1 species